rnacentral:rRNA from 1 species
AGUGAACGCUGGCGGUAGGCCUAACACAUGCAAGUCGAACGGCAGCACAGUAAGAGCUUGCUCUUACGGGUGGCGAGUGGCGGACGGGUGAGGAAUACAUCGGAAUCUACUUUUUCGUGGGGGAUAACGUAGGGAAACUUACGCUAAUACCGCAUACGACCUACGGGUGAAAGCAGGGGAUCUUCGGACCUUGCGCGAUUGAAUGAGCCGAUGCCGGAUUAGCUAGUUGGCGGGGUAAAGGCCCACCAAGGCGACGAUCCGUAGCUGGUCUGAGAGGAUGAUCGGCCACACUGGAACUGAGACACGGUCCAGACUCCUACGGGAGGCAGCAGUGGGGAAUAUUGGGCAAUGGGCGCAAGCCUGAUCCAGCCAUACCGCGUGAGUGAAGAAGGCCUUCGGGUUGUAAAGCCCUUUUGUUGGGAAAGAAAAGCAGCAGGUGAAUACCCCGCUGUUCUGACGGUACCCAAAGAAUAAGCACCGGCUAACUUCGUG